AUAGGUUUGGUCCCAGCCUUCCUGUUAACUUUCAAUAGACUUAUACAUGCAAGCAUCCACGCCCCGGUGAGUAACGCCCUUCGAAUCACACAGGACUAAAAGGAGCAGGUAUCAAGCACACACUCUUGUAGCUCACAACGCCUUGCUUAACCACACCCCCACGGGAGACAGCAGUAACAAAAAUUAAGCCAUAAACGAAAGUUUGACUAAGCCAUAUUGACUAGGGUUGGUAAAUCUCGUGCCAGCCACCGCGGUCAUACGAUUGACCCAAGCUAACAGGAGUACGGCGUAAAGCGUGUUAAAGCAUCAUACUAAAUAGAGUUAAAUUUUAAUUAAACUGUAAAAAGCCAUAAUUAUAACAAAAAUAAAUGACGAAAGUAACCCUACAAUAGCUGAUACACCAUAGCUAAGACCCAAACUGGGAUUAGAUACCCCACUAUGCUUAGCCCUAAACACAAAUAAUUAU
rnacentral:rRNA from 1 species